rnacentral:lncRNA from 1 species
GCUGACUGGCUGUGGCAGGAGGCGGGGGGCGUGGUUGGCCCGCCGGGGAAGCCCCGCCAGAUUUAAAAAUACUGAGUCUCAAAGCGCGGGGUCUACUCUACCCAGCCGGCACCGCUCGGUUAGCUGACGCUGAGGUAGCCGGGGAGGUGCGUCCCGUCGGUCCCCCGCCCCAGAGCGGCCGCAGUCCCGGCUCCCGGAGUGGUGGUCCCUGCCCCGUCCAGAGAAUAACAUGGGGAGGCCGAGGAGCCUGCGCUGCGGCGGACGACCAGCCCCGCCGGCGGUCGCUGAGGCUGGGGUUCCAAUGCCAGUCUUCCAGUGCCAGUGCUGCUUCCCAGCCCACACAUCCCUCUCACCACUGCUGCAUCCUAAGGUACAAUUGCUUCAUAAAUCUUUAAACUCACGGGCCUCUAAAAGGUCUGUAUUAUGUCUAAAGUAAGUGAGAGAAAAAGACACUGAAAACAUGCAUGCUAAUUUAUGACAGAAGAGAUGAAUGAGCAAAGGAGGAGAUGGAGCAUACAGGUAGGGAGGUGAUAGUGACAAGCAAUAACGAUAAGGGAGGAUCAUGGGGCAGGUUGCACAAAGUGACAGGUGUAUGCAGAGGGCGUUAGAUUUCAUAAAAUUUAUGGCUAAUGCCAUAUGUAUUUAACAACAGAAUACAAUAGCCAAUAUCACUUAACAAACUAUAGUGUCUGCUUUGUGCCAGCCACUGUUCUAAGUGCUCUAAA